AGAGUUUGAUCCUGGCUCAGGAUGAACGCUGGCGGCGUGCCUAAUACAUGCAAGUCGAGCGAACAGAUAAGGAGCUUGCUCCUUUGAAGUUAGCGGCGGACGGGUGAGUAACACGUGGGUAACCUACCUAUAAGACUGGGAUAACUUCGGGAAACCGGAGCUAAUACCGGAUAACAUUUAGAACCGCAUGGUUCUAAAGUGAAAGAUGGUUUUGCUAUCACUUAUAGAUGGACCCGCGCCGUAUUAGCUAGUUGGUAAGGUAACGGCUUACCAAGGCGACGAUACGUAGCCGACCUGAGAGGGUGAUCGGCCACACUGGAACUGAGACACGGUCCAGACUCCUACGGGAGGCAGCAGUAGGGAAUCUUCCGCAAUGGGCGAAAGCCUGACGGAGCAACGCCGCGUGAGUGAUGAAGGGUUUCGGCUCGUAAAACUCUGUUAUUAGGGAAGAACAAGUGUGUAAGUAACUGUGCACAUCUUGACGGUACCUAAUCAGAAAGCCACGGCUAACUACGUG
rnacentral:rRNA from 1 species